GUAAAUAUAGUUUAACCAAAACAUUAGAUUGUGAAUCUAAUAAUAGAAUACUUAACACUUCUUAUUUACC
rnacentral:tRNA from 1 species